rnacentral:lncRNA from 1 species
GAUGCUGGUGGGUGGAGGAAAGCAUAGCCAAACCGAGAGAUGGCUUGGUGGAUUUGCAUUUUGAGUUAUUUAAAAUGCCAAGGGAUUAUGUAGACUGAUAUUCUGACCCUCUUCCAAGUCCUGUGGAUUCUUUCCUCUUUUUCCAGUUACAUAAAGUCCGCCUGUCUUUCUUUUUCCUCAUGUCUUUAGAUUAUGUUUUCCCUUUUGCCCGUGCUCUUAGAGCCUUGCGCUUUUCUUUCCGAGCACUUAUCUUAGUUUACGUUAUGCUUUUUGUGACUGAAUUUUGUCUUUCUGUCUUUGAAACAAUGCCCAUGAACUACCUAUACUGGAAGCUCCAUAAGACCCAGGACCUUGUCAGGGCCACUCAUCCCUGUAUUCCAAGUCCAGCCCUGUGUCUGACACAUGGCAGACAUGCAUCAAGAUUUGUUGAGUGAAAGAAUACAAAAAUGAAUGAGUGAGACAUUGGAUUCAGAUUUUGAAUCUUAUUGGCUUCUUAUUGUUUAUGAGAGGGAGAAAGUAUUUAAGCCAUAAUCCGAUUGCUAAUUGCUUAUAAAUAGUGAGGAUAUUGGGUGAUAGGAGAGUUAACAAGCAGAACAGGAGUUCAACAAAAGUUUAUUGACAAUAAUAAACACAAUCUUCAUUUACUUAGAAUGUAUAAUGAGUAGUUAUAAAUACAGCAAGUGUCUUCCGAAUUUUCUGAUAAUAGUUAUGAGUAGGGAUAACCAUGGUAUUUCACUGAGCCCAUACAAGGUGUUGUGCUAAAGAAUCUACCUACUGUAAUCUUCUAAAUGACCUACAAAGAAUGUGUCAUUAUCACCACUUCCCAGAUGAAGAAAUCAGGACUCAAAAGUAGUUAAGACACGUGCAGAGAUGUGGCCUAACCUGAAAUUCUAUUCUUUCAAUAACUAUGUAAUUCUGGAUACACACUUUCACAUUCAGAACUCAAGACCUUGAAGAGAAAUACUUCUCUAUGUACAUCAGAAUCCCUUUGCUCUAAGGAAGGGUGAUGGCCAGAAAGUGUAAAGGGAGUAACCUUGGUUUAUUGUACUGACACCCCAAUACAUUCUUUCAUUGAUGGAUAGCCUAUGGAAUACUGGGGAGCAGGGAACAGGUGAUAUCUUUAGAAUAUUUUUUUGACCUAUAUGGUCAGAGUAUUGUUUCAGGUCCCAAAUGUCCUUCCUUGGGAAUCAUAAGUUGAGGGUGUGGCCAGAUGCAGUCCCUGUCCCCUAGUACCUGUCAGUCUGCUCAGAGAAGACUGGACACAUGUGAGGUAUAGUUACUCUAGGAGGAAAAAAUCUGAGUUUACCUCUGAUGGGACAGAGGAGGCAGAUAGCCAUAUCUCUACUCAUUGUCCAUCUGUCCAUCUAUUCAUCCAUCCAUCCAUCCAUCCAUCCAUCCAUCCAUUCAACCAUUCAUCUAUCCAUCUAGUGAACAAGUAAUGACAGUGCCUGACCUCAUAGUGCGUAUGGGCUCCUUGGUAGGACAGGGCCCUCUGAUGAACUUCUUCAUGAAAAACAAGUUCAGAGAUGUUAUAAGAGAAGACUUCUUACCCAAAGUCCUGCAGGUAGAAAAUUAGAGUGGAGAUUCCAGCCCAAUCUUCAUCCAUAUUGCAAGGAUUGCAUGAAAAUUCAGCUGGGCUUUUGCUAAAUCUCAUGUAACUUCAGCUAGCUAGUUCUUUUUCAUCUGAACAAGCAGUCUAAAUAGACAGUGGUACCACUGAAAAGCUCUGUUGUUUAUCAAGUGUGGCCUCAGACAAAUGUUUAAGUUCUUGGUGUCUUACAUUCAUCAUGGUAAACAGGAGUGAAAUAGAACUUUUAGGACCAUUGUGAGGAUCGAAUGAGUUAAUAGAUAUAAAAUACGUGACACAUGUACAUAAUGUUGGCUCUUGUUACAGUGACAGACAUUUCAGAAGAGCCCUUUUUUGGGUGAAGAAGGUAAUGAAUUCAACUUGCAACAUGUGGGGAAAGCACCUCUAUUUUGCAUUCAACUGAAUGUGCAACAAGUGCAGCAUCCAUAUUUUCCACUUGAUUAUGGGUUAUGAGGUCAGAGAUUCUCUGGGUCACCUCUGCACCCAUAGCACUAGAAUAAUGUCUGAUCCAAGGAAGAUGC